GUUAAAAAUUAGGGGAAGGUGUAGGGUUUCUGUAGGUCUCUAAAUAAACACAGUAGGUUCGUUUGAAAUAAGCAAGUUCAGUGCAGAACCGAUCACCAGCAGAUCUAUGCCGGUGUCGUGAGCAAUCCAGUACCCCCUGAAAAGGAGACAUAUCCAGCUGCAGACCCGCAGCACCACCAGUUUCAGAACCCCAGCGCCAGAACCUGAAGUGAGGGGCGGAGUUAUUGACAAUGAGACAAGCAUGGCGGAGAGCAUGAGACAUUUCGAAUGAAUGAAGACCACAAGGAAAAGGCCCGCAACAAUCUCCUGGAACAGUCAGAAGCUUCCAGAGAGCCCUUGUUCUGACGAUUUGUGCUACCCAUCGAUAUGUGCAACUUACUGGUUAUGCGCAUGUGCAGACUCACAGUUUUGUUCUGCGUGACCACGCCCAUAAAUCUAUGCAUCCUUGCUGUGGAGACUUGACGAGUUUUGAAAGUUUGGAAAACUAAACCCACUGUUUCUAGGGAAUGCAGAUGAUUACUGCGUUGUAUGCUCCUUGCUUGAAAAAGAUGCAGAUCAGAGCAUGAUUGAAAUGGUGCAGUGUGAUUUGUGCUGUAGGUGGGCACAUUUUCAAUGUGCCAAAUAUGAAAAAGAUAGUUGUGCAACAUAUACAUGCAAAAAGUGCCAGAGUGUGUGAAAUGUGUACAAAGUAGGUAGCAGCACUUGACACGUAAGUAAUCAGAAUGUGCUAAUGUUCAUGUAGUGUGAUAUGGCGUGAGGCUUUAAAAUAAAUAAAUACAUUUUAUUUGGAGUACUUUCAUCAUUUAUUUAGUUUAAAAAAACUGGGAGCAUUAUUUGAUAGGGCACGUUGGUCUAUCAAAAUAUGCAACUCCUGACAUCUUAAAGGCAUAAUUACAAAAUAUCUCAACAUACUCUCCAUAUUCAUAAGGUGCAUAUGGAGUGAGUAGUGAUGUAAAAUAAAGUGAAUUUGCACUGGGAGCAUUAUUUGAUAGGGCACGUUGGUCUAUCAAAAUAUGCAACUCCUUACAUCUUGAAGACAUUAUUAUGUAGUAUUGUUUUUUCUAAUGACAGUGAACAUAAGGUAAAUAUUCAUGUGUCAAAAAAUGCUAACUACCAUAUGAAUAUUUGUACGGUCAGCCAGCUGAACAAGAAUAACUGAAAGUUUCAGUUAGGAAAGGUGUGCUUUGACAGGUCAAAAAUGAAUAUUUUAUGAUAAUUUUUACUUUUCACACAGUUUUAAAAAUAAAAACAGUACAGUAUACAGUACUCAUAACUUAUAAUUUUAUUAUAAUUGUAUUUCAUAUAAUAUACAAUAAUGUCAUUUUUACUUGUUAUAUCAAAUUUGAUAAUUGCUGGUUCAUUUAAAAUAUAAAAAUAUGCUCCCCAUACACUUACCCUGUUUUAAAUGAAAUAACGAUGUCUUAAUAUUGUGAGAUUUACAUCAUUAUGGAAACAGUAGCUAGAGAAUGAAUCGACAUUCUCUGUGAUCGAUUCGCGCUUGGGUAGCAUUUUUCGACAAGGCAGCACAAAUCGUCAGACUCUGCUAUCGAUUCGCGCUACGGUAGCAUUUUUCGACAAGGCAGCACAAAUCGUCAGACUCUGCUAUCGAUUCGCGCUACGGUAGCAUUUUUCGACAAGGCAGCACAAAUCGUCAGAACACCCUUUCUAUUUCAUUUUGUGUUCAGGGAUGACAUGGAGUUAUUUUAGCAAGAAUGUAAGGACAAAAUGGGCCUGAGAGUGAAUUCCUCAUUUGAUACAUUUUAAGUUUAAUUUAUACAGGAUUGUCAUGAUAAAAUGGGCCUAGGGGUGAAUUGGUCAUUUGUUGUAUAUAUUUUUAUUGUUUCUUUUAAAAUUAUGCUGAAUUUUCUCUCUUUUUUUUAGUUUUUUGACAUGUUUUAUUUUACAUAAAGAAAAAUGCAUGCUGCACAUGUUCUUGUGAAAUAAAGUAUAUUUUAUAUAAAAUGCCCAUAAGUUUCAAGCAUUUUUUUUCACCAUCAUGAUCAGGAAGUAACUCUCAUAAUACAAUGAAACGGAUAACUAUAUACAAUUAUAUUACACAAGAUCAAUGUUUUAAAGUGCUUAUUGUACUGUACCUUAAAGAAUCAUUAUAACAUACGUAUAAAGUAUGGUGUUUCGUUUGUAAUAAAAGCAAAGUACUCUCCAAAACGUUAGGUGGCGCUACUCGGUUUCGAACGUAAG